rnacentral:rRNA from 1 species
CGUCAGCUCGUGUUGUGAAAUGUUGGGUUAAGUCCCGCAACGAGCGCAACCCUUAUCCUUUGUUGCCAGCGGUCCGGCCGGGAACUCAAAGGAGACUGCCAGUGAUAAACUGGAGGAAGGUGGGGAUGACGUCAAGUCAUCAUGGCCCUUACGACCAGGGCUACACACGUGCUACAAUGGCGCAUACAAAGAGAAGCGACCUCGCGAGAGCAAGCGGACCUCAUAAAGUGCGUCGUAGUCCGGAUUGGAGUCUGCAACUCGACUCCAUGAAGUCGGAAUCGCUAGUAAUCGUGGAUCAGAAUGCCACGGUGAAUACGUUCCCGGGCCUUGUACACACCGCCCGUCACACCAUGGGAGUGGGUUGCAAA